ACGGGGUAAAUGGCCGCGGUAGCCUGACCGUGCUAAGGUAGCAUAAUCAUUUGCCGUUUAAUUGAUGGCUGGAAUGAAUGAAUAUACGUAAGCUCAACUGUCUCCUUUUUACCUAUAAAAAUUGACCCCCAAGUGAAGAGACUUGGAUUGACCAAAAAGACGAAAAGACCCUAUAGAGCUUCACCUGACCUUCACUCGUCCAAGAGAAGGUUUAGUUGGGGCAACUAGAGAGUACCUAAAACCUCUCUUCCAAAAAACCUAUUUAGACCCGUUACACGAUCAGCAGAGAAAGCUACCUUAGGGAUAACAGGCUAAUCCUCUUUGAGAGACCAUAUUGACAAGAGGGGUUGGCACCUCGAU
rnacentral:rRNA from 1 species